rnacentral:misc_RNA from 1 species
ACUCCGUAGGUGAACCUGCGGAGGGAUCAUUACAGAGUUCAUGCCCUACCGGGUAGAUCUCCCACCCUAUGUUAUUAUUACUUUGUUGCUUUGGCGGGCCGUUAGGCUCCGGCCCGACUACCGGCCCCGGCUGGUAAGCGCCCGCCAGAGGACCCAAAACCCUGAAUAUUAGUGUCGUCUGAGUACUAUAUAAUAGUUAAAACUUUCAACAACGGAUCUCUUGGUUCUGGCAUCGAUGAAGAACCAGC